rnacentral:rRNA from 1 species
AACAGGGAUUGCCCCAGUAACGGCGAGUGAAGCGGCAACAGCUCAAAUUUGAAAUCUGGCUUCGGCCCGAGUUGUAAUUUGUAGAGGAAGCUUUUGGUGCGGCACCUACUGAGUCCCCUGGAACGGGGCGCCAUAGAGGGUGAGAGCCCCGUAUAGUAGGACGCCUAGCCUGUGUAAAGCUCCUUCGACGAGUCGAGUAGUUUGGGAAUGCUGCUCUAAAUGGGAGGUAAAUUUCUUCUAAAGCUAAAUAUUGGCCAGAGACCGAUAGCGCACAAGUAGAGUGAUCGAAAGAUGAAAAGCACUUUGAAAAGAGGGUUAAACAGCACGUGAAAUUGUUGAAAGGGAAGCGCUUGUGACCAGACUUGCGCCGGGCGGAUCAUCCGGUGUUCUCACCGGUGCACUCCGCCCGGCUCAGGCCAGCAUCGGUUCUCGUGGGGGGAUAAAGGCUCUGGGAACGUGGCUCCUCCGGGAGUGUUAUAGCCCAGGGUGCAAUGCCCUCGUGGGGACCGAGGUUCGCGCAUCUGCAAGGAUGCUGGCGUAAUGGUCAUCAGCGACCCGUCUUGAAACACGGACCAAGGAGUCAAGGUUUUGCGCGAGUGUUUGGGUGUAAAACCCGCACGCGUAAUGAAAGUGAACGUAGGUGAGAGCUUCGGCGCAUCAUCGACCGAUCCUGAUGUAUUCGGAUGGAUUUGAGUAGGAGCGUUAAGCCUUGGACCCGAAAGAUGGUGAACUAUGCUUGGAUAGGGUGAAGCCAGAGGAAACUCUGGUGGAGGCUCGCAGCGGUUCUGACGUGCAAAUCGAUCGUCAAAUCUGAGCAUGGGGGCGAAAGACUAAUCGAACCAUC